UUCGCAUUUCGCAUAUUUAAUAUUGGUCGCAAAUACAAUUCGCAAUUAUUCAAUCGCGAGCAGCAUUGCAGUGCGGAUCCCCCGAAAUUCAGUUAAAAAAUAUACAUACGUUCAGCGGUCUUUCCACAUCUCAUACACAAUUUAUUUGACAGUUUUGAGUUUGGCUUCGAGUUUGAGUUCGAGUUCUACAAACAACCGUAAAACAAGUGGAGUAUAGUGGUGUGUGGUGUCAGUGCUUCUUACAAAGCUGAACUGUUGUUGAAAAUACACAUUAAAUCACCUGGCAACGCUUUAGCCGUAUAAACGUCAUUAGCAACGUAAAUAUCGUUAACUUCAUAGAAAUAUCGUAUAAAAAUUAUAAUAAAAUCAACAUAAUACAAAUGAAAUAAAAAAAUUCAGUGCAAUUAAAUAGCAACAAAUAAAAAAAAAGUAUUAAAACAGUGUAAAUGUGAAUAAAAAUCAAUUGGACUGCAAUUUUUCUCGAAUAAAAAACUGCUGCAUUUAUUUACGAAUCUGUGCUAUCGCACUAGUUGUGUUUAUUAAUUCAACGAAAAAAUAAGAUAUAUGAGUAACUCAUUUCAAAAUCACAAUAAAAGGUAA